UAGGGAAUCUUCGGCAAUGGACGGAAGUCUGACCGAGCAACGCCGCGUGAGUGAAGAAGGUUUUCGGAUCGUAAAGCUCUGUUGUAAGAGAAGAACGAGUGUGAGAGUGGAAAGUUCACACUGUGACGGUAUCUUACCAGAAAGGGACGGCUAACUACGUGCCAGCAGCCGCGGUAAUACGUAGGUCCCGAGCGUUGUCCGGAUUUAUUGGGCGUAAAGCGAGCGCAGGCGGUUAGAUAAGUCUGAAGUUAAAGGCUGUGGCUUAACCAUAGUACGCUUUGGAAACUGUUUAACUUGAGUGCAAGAGGGGAGAGUGGAAUUCCAUGUGUAGCGGUGAAAUGCGUAGAUAUAUGGAGGAACACCGGUGGCGAAAGCGGCUCUCUGGCUUGUAACUGACGCUGAGGCUCGAAAGCGUGGGGAGCAAACAGGAUUAGAUACCCUGAUAGUCCACGCCGUAAACGAUGAGUGCUAGGUGUUAGACCCUUUCCGGGGUUUAGUGCCGUAGCUAACGCAUUAAGCACUCCGCCUGGGGAGUACGACCGCAAGGUUG
rnacentral:rRNA from 1 species